GGCAGUGGUAGCUCAAUGGUUAAGACGUAAGACUACAGAUCGAAAGGCCAAGAGUUCAAAUCACAGCACUUCCA